rnacentral:lncRNA from 1 species
CUUUAACUCCAGCCUGACAAAGGUCUUGAAAUCUUGGACCAUUUGCAAAAUCUUGAAAAUAUUUGUUUAUCACAAACAAAACGAGCCGGAGGUUGUGCUGCGUGAAAUAAAGCAAUACCUCUCAGUAGUUAUCAUUGAAAGCCAAUGCCAAAAUGCUCACAAUAAGCUUUAGCCACAAACUAGGCAAACACUGCUAAAAUGGAUAUAUGAUAUCAAAACAUGGCUCUUCUUUAGAAAAGUUCUAUUUGCCUGUGCAGUGUGGGUGAUGGGUGAGGUUUGAUGUUAGAACAACAAGAAAGAAACCCUCAUAAGUGCUUAUGUCAAGAUAUUUAAAAGGGAACCUCAAUGACUGCUGCAAAUUUAUCAAAACUUGGUCAAAUUACUUUCCCACAUGUAAUAUUGGAUCACGGAAAAUUUGGCCGAGGAAUGGUAUGCUAGUGGUACAUCAACACCAAUAGCAUAUAUGAAAGGCUAGUAUAUGCUCUACUAAACCACCUUGAAAGUUUAAACCGUACGUACUAUCACGGUUCCUUUUCUUUUAAUUCGAAGCAUCUCUAAGCAAUACUGGUGGUUGAAGAGGAAUUACCUUAAUGAGCUUAUUUCUAGCAGCUCGACCAACCUCUAACUGUCUUCUCACUUGAGCUGCACUCGAAUUUGUUGCCUCAGCUAAUUCAUCUUCAGUAGGAUCUCUACCCAGAUCCUUUUGCAAGUUCUCUUUUGCCUCAAGCAGUGCCUGCAGUUUCAGCAAAAUAUGUUAGAGGCAAGCACUACCAAUGCUUCAAAAAAACUAAGAAACAUGGAAAACUGAAGGCUAGCAGCAGUCUCCUUUUAUUGAAAAGGUGCAAACCUUCAUUGGCUGCAUUAGCUUAAACAACCAAGUAUGUUCGGUGGACGGCAGAACCGGAGGUAUCUUCAUUUUCUUCCAGUCCAGGCUGACCAAAUCGGUUGAAGCCGAAUAGUCCCGGACAAGCCUAUCGAUCUUCUCACUUUCAUUCGAGAUACCCUUUUUACUCUGGCCAGAAACAACUGACUUUUCUUCUCUAUUCUUUUUCAGU